GGUGACCAUUCCGACAAGGAGAACUCGGGAGAUACAAGGAACCGGUAGAAUCGAAGCUCCACCGAAACCCUAAAGCAUUUCCCUUCGGUUGUAAGUCCAAGAACCCGAUAUAAAGGUAAAGAUAAAGGAAAAGCUAAAGUAUGAAAGGAAGGCGACAAGGAGCUGAUGGAGGUGUGAUGUGUGGACUAUGGAAGCCUUGGGACUAAGUUUUAGAAAUCUAUAAAGACUUGUAUUUAGACUAUUGGAGUUUUUGCCACCAUGUGAUGAUUUGGUUUAGCUUCUUAGAUGUUUUAUGUUUUAUAUU